UACGGAGGGUGCAAGCGUUAUCCGGAUUCACUGGGUUUAAAGGGUGCGUAGGUGGGUUGGUAAGUCAGUGGUGAAAUCCCCGAGCUUAACUUGGGAACUGCCAUUGAUACUAUUAAUCUUGAAUACCGUGGAGGUUAGCGGAAUAUGUCAUGUAGCGGUGAAAUGCUUAGAUAUGACAUAGAACACCAAUUGCGAAGGCAGCUGGCUAACACGAAUAUUG
rnacentral:rRNA from 1 species